rnacentral:rRNA from 1 species
GACAGAGGUUGCAAGCGUUGUUCGGAAUCACUGGGCGUAAAGGGUGCGUAGGCGGUUGAAUAUGUCUGACGUGAAAGCCCCCGGCUUAACUGGGGAAGUGCAUCAGAAACUAUUCAACUGGAGUACAGAAGAGGAUGGCAGAAUUCCCGGAGUAGAGGUGAAAUUCGUAGAUACCGGGAGGAAUACCUGAGGCGAAGGCGGCCAUCUGGUCUGCAACUGACGCUGAAGCACGAAAGCACGGGGAGCAAACAGG